rnacentral:lncRNA from 1 species
CUCCUCUUGUGUAGCACUUGAACACUUGCUAAAUUCAAACUAAAAAUUAAAUUGCUAGAAGAGCACUUUAGAAGAGAGAAAUAAUAGUAGUAGAGAAGGAGAGAAUAGUUGGUUUGGUGUGGUGAGAAUGAGGGAGGUGCCUUGACUAAAGAAAAGCAUUGCUAAAGAGGAAUCAUGAAUCAUAUCUUGCCUUCAAGGCUGUGGACCUAUUAGAGGAAGCUUUGAGAUGAUGCGUGCUUGUGGUUUUAGGGUUUAGGGUUUAGGGUUUAAAGAGGGGCCGAUCAUGAACACUUUUCUGCUGCAGAGGAAAUGACUUUCUUGCACAGUAGCAGUUUAUCAUAUUUUUUCUGAUCUAAAUCUUUCUCUCUCCCCCCUACACCUUACAAAAGGAGAUGAUGGCUUUAGCUUUAAAAGGAUUCCUUGGAUAGGAAAGGGAGGCCUACCAUCACGGGAGAUGCAAGAAGGGAAUAAGAGUUUCUUCGGUGAGAUAGAAAAGAAACCAACAAUGCAUGGUCUCUGGUUGUCGUGUGGUUCUCAGGUACAUGUGCAAGGUGGAAUCAGUAAACAAGAGCAUGAAUACUCACGAGCUGCUUGCAAAAAGAAAGGUGCAAUGUGGUACCAGAAAACCUCCUCUAUUUAGCACUGGCUACGACUGUUCUCUUUGGUGUAUGCAGAGCUAUGAUUGUUCUAUACUGCUGAAGUGCUGUCGAGUUAUAGAAAAGAAAAA